rnacentral:rRNA from 1 species
UACGUAGGGGGCAAGCGUUGUCCGGAAUCAUUGGGCGUAAAGAGCGUGUAGGCGGCCCGAUAAGUCCGCCGUGAAAGUCCAGGGCUCAACCCUGGAAUGCCGGUGGAAACUGUCGGGCUGGAGUCCGGAAGAGGCGAGUGGAAUCCUGGUGUAGCGGUGAAAUGCGCAGAUAUCAGGAGGAACACCAAUGGCGAAGGCAGCUCGCUGGGACGGUACUGACGCUGAGGCGCGAAAGCGUGGGGAGCAACAGG